UUGAUCGAGAGUUUGAUCCUGGCUCAGAACGAACGCUGGCGGCGUGGAUUAGGCAUGCAAGUCGAACGAGAACCUCGAACUUAUUUUGUUCGCAAUUUAGGAUCGGGGGGACAGUGGCGAACGGGUGAGUAACGCGUAAGCAAUCUGCCCUUAACUGCGGAAUAACUCUUCGAAAGAGGCGCUAAUACCGCAUGUGGCCAUCUGGUGACAUCACCGGAUGGUUAAAGAUGUGUCUCGCUUGCGGGAUAUGUCGGUUAGGGAUGAGCUUGCGUCCUAUUAGCUUGUUGGUAGGGUAAUGGCCUACCAAGGCUUUGAUGGGUAGCUGGUCUGAGAGGAUGGUCAGCCACACUGGGACUGAGACACUGCCCAGACUCCUACGGGAGGCUGCAGUCGAGAAUCAUCCGCAAUGGGCGAAAGCCUGACGGUGCGACGCCGCGUGGGGGAUGAAGGCCUUCGGGUCGUAAACUCCUUUCACCCGGGAAGAAAAAUCAUUUCGUGAAUAACGGGAUGACCUGACGGUACCGGGAGAAGAAGCCCUGGCUAACUCCGUGCCAGCAGCCGCGGUAAUACGGAGAGGGCAAGCGUUGUUCGGAUUUACUGGGC
rnacentral:rRNA from 1 species